rnacentral:rRNA from 1 species
CCUACGGGAGGCAGCAGUAGGGAAUCUUUCACAAUGGGCGAAAGCCUGAUGGAGCAACGCCGCGUGCAGGAAGAAGGCUUUCGGGUUGUAAACUUCUUUUCUCAGGGACGAAGCAAGUGACGGUACCUGAGUAAUAAGCCACGGCUAACUACGUGCCAGCAGCCGCGGUAAUACGUAGGUGGCAAGCGUUAUCCGGAUUUACUGGGUGUAAAGGGCGUGUAGGCGGGACUGCAAGUCAGAUGUGAAAACCACGGGCUAAACCUGUGGACUGCAUUUGAAACUGUAGUUCUUGAGUACUGGAGAGGCAGACGGAAUUCCUAGUGUAGCGGUGAAAUGCGUAGAUAUUAGGAGGAACACCAGUGGCGAAGGCGGUCUGCUGGACAGCAACUGACGCUGAGGCGCGAAAGCGUGGGGAGCAAACAGGAUUAGAUACCCCGUAGUC